UACGUAGGUGGCGAGCGUUGUCCGGAUUUACUGGGCGUAAAGCGCACGUAGGCGGACUGUUAAGUCGGGGGGUGAAAUCCUGGGGCUCAACCUCAGAAUUGCCUCCGAUACUGGCAGUCUCGAGUGCGGGAGAGGUGAGUGGAAUUCCCAGUGUAGAGGUGAAAUUCGUAGAUAUUUGGGAAGAACACCAGUGGCGAAGGCGGCUCACUGGCCCGUAACUGACGCUGAGGUGCGAAAGCGUGGGGAGCAAACAGG
rnacentral:rRNA from 1 species